UACGUAGGGGGCAAGCGUUGUCCGGAUUUAUUGGGCGUAAAGAGCGUGUAGGCGGCCUUACAGGUCAGCUGUGAAAACUCGAGGCUCAACCUCGAGACGUCGGUUGAAACCAUCUGGCUAGAGUCCGGAAGAGGAGAGUGGAAUUCCCGGUGUAGCGGUGAAAUGCGCAGAUAUCGGGAAGAACACCCGUGGCGAAGGCGGCUCUCUGGGACGGUACUGACACUGAGACGCGAAAGCGUGGGGAGCGAACAGG
rnacentral:rRNA from 1 species